UACAUAAAACUACUUUGAGAAAACCCAAUUUUGUCUGAUCUUGAAAGCUAAGCAGGGUUGGGCCUGGUUAGUACAGGGAUGGGAGACCACUGCGAAUACCAGGUGUGAAGGUAU
rnacentral:rRNA from 1 species